GCGUAUGGCGACGCGGAGGGAUCAUUACCGAGUUUACAACUCCCAAACCCCAAUGUGAACGUUACCAAUCUGUUGCCUCGGCGGGAUUCUCUUGCCCCGGGCGCGUCGCAGCCCCGGAUCCCAUGGCGCCCGCCGGAGGACCAACUCCAAACUCUUUUUUUCUCUCCGUCGCGGCUCCCGUCGCGGCUCUGUUUUAUUUUUGCUCUGAGCCUUUCUCGGCGACCCUAGCGGGCGUCUCGAAAAUGAAUCAAAACUUUCAACAACGGAUCUCUUGGUUCUGGCAUCGAUGAAGAACGCAGCGAAAUGCGAUAAGUAAUGUGAAUUGCAGAAUUCAGUGAAUCAUCGAAUCUUUGAACGCACAUUGCGCCCGCCAGUAUUCUGGCGGGCAUGCCUGUCCGAGCGUCAUUUCAACCCUCGAACCCCUCCGGGGGGUCGGCGUUGGGGAUCGGCCCCUCACCGGGCCGCCCCCGAAAUACAGUGGCGGUCUCGCCGCAGCCUCUCCUGCGCAGUAGUUUGCACACUCGCACCGGGAGCGCGGCGCGGCCACAGCCGUAAAACACCCCAAACUUCUGAAAUGUUGACCUCGGAUCAGGUAGGAAUACCCGCUGAACUUAAGCAUAUCAAUAAGCCGGAGGAA
rnacentral:rRNA from 1 species